GAGUGAAGAGGGAAAAGCUCAAAUUUAAAAUCUGACAGUGUUUGGCUGUCUGAGUUGUAAUCUAGAGAAGUGCUGCCUGCACUGGACCAUGUACAGGUCUCCUGGAAUGGAGCAUCAUAGAGGGUGAGAAUCCCGUCUUUGACAUGGACUUACCAGUGUGUUAUGGUGUGCUCUCAAAGAGUCGAGUUGUUUGGGAAUGCAGCUCUAAAUGGGUGGUAAACUCCAUCUAAAGCUAAAUAUUGGCAAGAGACCGAUAGUGAACAAGUACCGUGAGGGAAAGAUGAAAAGAACUUUGGAAAGAGAGUUAAACAGUACGUGAAAUUGUUGAAAGGGAAACGCUUGAAGUCAGUCAUGUCGGCCAGGACUCAGUCUAGCAUUCUUUGCUGGGUGUACUUCCUGAUCUGACAGGCCAACAUCAGUUUUGACUAUUGGAGAAGGUUGGAGGGAAUGUGGCACCUUUCUAGGUGUGUUAUAGCCCUCUGUCAGAUGCAGUAGUUAGGACUGAGGAAUGCAGCAUGCCACAAGGCCAGGUUUCGACCAUGUUCAUGCUAAGGAUGUUGGCAUAAUGGCUUUAAUCGACCCGUCUUGAAACACGGACCAAGGAGUCUAACAUGCCUGCAAGUGUUUGGGUGGCAAACUCAAGCGCAUAAUGAAAGUGAAAAGUUGAGAUCCCUGUCAUGGGGAGCAUCAAUGCCCAGACCUGAGCUUUUAGCAAUGGAUCUGCGGUAGAGCAUGCAUGUUGGGACCCGAAAGAUGGUGAACUAUGCCUGAAUAGGGUGAAGCCAGAGGAAACUCUGGUGGAGGCUCGUAGCGAUUCUGACGUGCAAAUCGAUCGUCAAAUUUGGGUAUAGGGGCGAAAGA
rnacentral:rRNA from 1 species